GGAUAUGAGGGCAAUCUAGCUGUGACAUCUGUCACCCCAUUAACCCGCCCGGUUGAUUCAGCUGAUCUGGCUGGCUAGGCAGGUGUCCCCUUUCUCCCUCACCACUCCAUGUGCAUCCCUCUUCAAGUUGCAAGCCCCUCUCAAAAGUUGUGAGCUCCUCCCGAAUUUGCCCCCUUGAAGAGGGCAAACUUUUCAAUAGGGGAGGUCCAUUCUUCAGUCAAGGGUAUAGAAGUAGCUAUGCUCACCUGCUAGAACCUCCAAAGAGUUCUCAAGAAAUUGUAUAUUAGUAUACUUUUAAUUUCUUAUCUUUUUUACUAUGACUAAAUUUUAGCAUUUAU
rfam:Ictidomys tridecemlineatus contig000336, whole genome shotgun sequence.